UUUUUCGCCUGUAGUAAAAGGAUGAGAACCUCCGAAGGAGGUUUGAGCCGAGCGUAGCGAGACAACGUUGCUUCAGCAACGGCCCGCAGGGCGCUUCGCUGGCUGCGGCCUCGACCUCAUCGCGA
rnacentral:sRNA from 1 species